rnacentral:rRNA from 1 species
GAUGAACGCUAGCGGCAGGCUUAAUACAUGCAAGUCGAGGGACAGCACAGGUAGCAAUACUGGGUGGUAACCGGCAAACGGGUGCGGAACACGUACACAACCUUCCUUUAAGUGGGGGAUAGCCCAGAGAAAUUUGGAUUAAUACCCCGUAAUAUAGUUGAAUGGCAUCAUUUGAUUAUUAUAGCUACGGCGCUUAAUGAUGGGUGUUCGGCUGAUUAGAUAGUUGGCGGGAUAACGGCCCACCAAGUCUACGAUCAGUAGCUGAGGUUGGAGCAUGAUCAGCCAAACGGGCACUGAGAACCGGGGCCGACUCCUACGGGAGGCAGCAGUAAUGAAUAUUGGUCAAUGGACGAAAGUCUUAACCAGCCAUGCCGCGUGAAGGAUUAAGGUCCUCUGGAUUGUAAACUUCUUUUAUUUAGGACGAAAAAGGGCCUUUCUAGGUCAACUGACGGUACCAGAUGAAUAAGCACCGGCUAACUCCGUGCCAGCCGCCGCCGUAAGAC